AUGCAUUUAAUAUUUUUAAAAAUAGUUCAAAGGCUGUCAAAAUAAAAUGGUGAAUUGAGUUUAAACCAGAAAAGAUAUAAACGUAAUCUUUGGGAUUCAACUUGUAAGGAUGUUCCAAGAACCACUUAGUUGGAGAAGGAAAACUGUGCCGUUCAUUAACAAGUCCUGUGCUUUAUAAUAUAUUAAAAAAUGGAAGGACGUGAAGAAAACAGGUUUGUAAAUGAUGUUGUACAUCAUGCAGAUAGCUCAGAAGAAGAAGUAAGUUUUUUUUUUAAUUACAAAAGUAAAUAUAUAAUAUAAUAUUUGUUGCUGCCUUGUUCUAUAUAAAUGUUUCUAACAUGCAGGUAACAUUUAUAUAUGUAUUAGUUUGAAUAAAUCAUUUUAAUAAAGUUACAUUAUAGGCAGGAAUGUUUGACUGGAAAUAUAAACGAUGUUGUACAUAAUGCAGAUAGCUUAGGCAAAAAAGAGAUUGGUGAAAUGGAGAAUGAGACUAACUAGGGUGAAAAAAAAUGAAUAUUAAUAUGUGAAUGGUACUUUGUUUAACAUCUACCUGUUUCUACAGAUACAGUACAGACGCAUUUAUAAAUGGGCUUGAUGUUUUUUUGAAUUAAAUAUGUUGUAUUGA